AUCUGAAUCCACCGGGACAUCGUCUAUUAUCUCUGACGAGCUGCCAGAAACAGUCCCACAAUUCUGACACCACUUUGCUGUCUGUGAAACGGCUUGGCGCGGAAUGGCUGCCUCAGCACCCCAUGCAUGCACUGUGAGUCAACCUUGUACACCAACAGAGUUGCGUCAUCGUCAGGAUACCGGCAGAUGACGCAGCAGUCUGCAUCCCUGCCGACUCAGCGCCGCUCGGUGUGAGCCACAAGCGGCCAGGUGCAUGCUUCUUGCCGGCGUGGAUAAGAUCAAGGUGUCAACAAGUGCCCCUGAUCCGGAUUUCGAAUCUGCGGCCCUCACCUUGGGAUGCCUACGGCGUGUGUUGGAAGCCAGGACGACUGCCCGUGGUUGCAAGCUGUGGAGUGGCCCACCGCUGGCUGGCUAUGGACCCCACAUCAGCCUCAGGGGGUUGAAGUAGCGAUCCACUGUGGACUGGAAUGCUGGUGCCCCAUUUGCUGCUGAGUGUAGCUGGUGGCGUGACACGUCCCGCUGUCCAGGAGAGCUGUCACACUUGAAUGAAUCUCGUUAGAAACCCAAACCUACUGAUAUGCGGCUGUGCGCCUCUGUGUUGCCAUACUCACUGCUUUGCAUCAUGUGCUCAUUACAUGCUAGGUUGGCCUGUGGGCCCCUUCUGUCUUUGAUCUGUGACACACAAAACCGCUACGUACACUCUUUCAGCAAUUUGAUGGCCAUGUGACCUCUAUUCUACUUCGCAACUUUUGGUAUGCGUAACUCUCUGCAAUCCGGCCUCCACCUGGCUGUAACUUGUGCUCAGAAUAUUACACGAAACUAACUUUCCCUAUCCUAAACGGUGGUGCCACUACAAUUAUAAUAAUUUUUCAUAAUAAAACUUUCAAUGUUACCACUUCAAAUGCAGCUCUAUCGUUGGUUGUUAAUGACAGCUUACCCAGGGUACAGUAAUUCCUAGUCCAGCUGCUGCUAUUCCGCACUGUAUGGUGGGGAAUGACAUUGAAUGUUGCUGGCAGUCCAUUACUUAUUCUUGGAUGACAUAGACAGAUGUAAUGCGGCUACUAUAAGAUUAGCACUCAAUAUGGAAAACCUCUCUUUUGGUGGUCAGUCAUGGUCGAGCAUAAUCUUAGAGACGAGUAUGCAUGCCAUUUCCGUGGUGUCCAACAUCAGACCAAUGUCACAUCUGGAUGCUCCAUACACCUGGAUGACUCGACCAUCUGGGCAAGCGAAGACACACAGUCAGGUGCUGAUUAACACUGUCACACAUGAGUACACAGUAUCUCUGUUUUCUUCACAGUGAAUGUUCAAUGUCUGACAUGGUUCACACUCUCUGUAUACUCUAAUGGACCUGAUACCAACACUAAACAAGAACAAAUCUAAGACAUUCUGGUUGCCAUACCACAUGACAUACCCGCUGAAGGUGUGCUCAUGUACGAAUUUAUACAGGCAAUCGACCAUUAUGCAUGCUUGACUUAUUUGCCAAUUGUCCCAUUUACCCUUUGUGUCCACAUGCCAAAGAAAGAAAAAAUAUUAAUUAAGUGUCGUUUAGCUAUCAGGGCGAUUUAAUUAGGAAUUUGUUCAUCACAAAGAUAUGAACUUCAGUAUUUUUUAAUAGAAUCCUAUAUUUUUUAUUCCAUAGUUCAGUUCCUCUCCUCUAGGACUGUUGAAAAACAUGUCAUCUUGUAUCAUUUAUGUAAAUGUGAGGUUAUUGAAAACGAGAAUCUAAGUUAGCAAUUUAGUAAGUGAAAUAAUGUUUUUUACUUACAAUACGUAUAUGUGCAGUACAGCAGUAUAAUACUUUUAAUGAAUAUGUUGUGUACAGUGAAGAUAGUCAGUGAUACAAGACUUCUGCUGAUUUGCUUGUGUGAGUGCAACGAUGAUUGUGGUCUCUCGGGUUAAGCAGUCCCGUUUCAUUAAGUACCACAACAAAAUGACAGAACAUUCGUCGGGAACGUGGGUUCUUGUCAUGAUAUCGUUCUGUGUUAGUUCGUCUCUCUGAGUGGUAGUACGCAUACGUUUAACCACAGUAAAGGAAAAUUAAUGACGGUUGCAGUUUUUAGCCAAGGACUGUCUUAACUUUACACAACAGCAGUUUGCAUACCCUGAUCUAAUUUCAGUUCUGUUUUUAGAUCAGGGUGUGACUCUUCCAGGACAGAUGUAUAACAAGGCAUUCCUGUUUUUAACUUACGAAUUACUUAAUUCCUCGGACAAAUCUGGGUAUUAGUUCUAUUUUUAGAAUGGAUUCCUCGGACACUCUAUUUUCAGGCCCCAGUGACGUCACAAAAUAGGAAGCAGACUAAUGUGGAUGAUCACAAUUGGUAGCCACUGUUCAAACUGCCCUAUCAUAAUUAGCAGACAUCACCUGCGAAGGAGUUUUUCAUGUGCACAUUUCAUUCACCUUCACUUCAAAAGCAAUGUUGCUGUUUGUGAGGACAUUUUAUUUGACAGCUUGUGGAUCAAAACAUAUUAGUGAGGGAACAGCACCAAGUAUACCUUCAUCAGUGAACUGGAGAAUUUGAGACAUUGUGGAAAUGUUCAGCUGAUUCAAGUAAAGUGGCAACACUUACGUGAGAAUCUGUUAUACACAGAAAGUCGGGUCAUAAUAUAACCCUUACAAACUAGUUUCAAAAUUUUCAACAGCAGUGGCAUCAACUCCAGCGUCAGCAACAAUAACAACAGUAGUCGUGUCUCUGCUUCAGUAAUAACAGCGUUUUGUGGUACGAUACUGAAACUGCAGAAUUGUGAUAUAAAGCAUAUCAUAUGAUAGAAAAAUUCGGGUAUUUCAAACAUAUGAAUCGUGUAUAACGCUGUGCAUUAUGCUACAGACAGAUUAUGUCAAUUAACAGACAGCACAAGAAAACUAUUCAGUGACAUGGCUGAAUAUAUACUCGUAAUACACCAAAAUGUUGGUGUGGAUGUUGAAUUAAACCCAGAAUAGGCGAAAGUGAAUAAUUUUGUGAUUUCAGUGUUGACUAAAAAUAGUGUCCUGGGAAAUAAGUAUAUCGUUGAUUGAAAACAGGAUUGAAACCCAGGUGUGUUCCACGAAUUACGUACGUCAAGAACUGAAAAUAGAAUUGUCCCAGGAAAGAAGUGGGUCCAGGCCUAAAGUAGCUAAAGGUACGAAAUAACCUACUCUAGGGUGAAUAGUUCCCUUAUGUUUCAUUAAAAUAUUGAUGAUAGUUUGGGUGUUUUGUCAAAACAUUCGAACGUGAUCAUAUACAGUAUGUUAGCAGUUCGGUACCUGCCAGUUUGCUCACUUGUAAUACCUUAUAUCCUGUGCGCUUAGUCUGUGUAUUGCCGUAUAAAGUUACAAAGUGUCAUAGUAUCUCUCUGUAAAUUAUUAUAGUAUCACAUCUCGAUAGUCACACUUUUCAGUUGUUACCCAGACAUCAAAUGGCAUUUUUGUCGUCGAUAAACAAAAUUUAUACCGAUUGAAAAUUGUUUUGCAUUUUUUCUUUGUCUAGAUUUUAUGUUAUUAUCAAAUCAUAAGAAAUUGUAUGUGUGUGCUUCUCAUUGUGAAAUAUGUGUUCACCUUAAAUUAGUAACCUAGGCGUUGAGUUAUGAAAUGUUCCUCACUAUAUCCAUUAAUGUAGUAUGUCAAGACGCUAUUAUUUUAACGCCAUGAUUUGUGUAUCGAUGCAUACAUUAUAAGUAAGCAAUUAUGUAAAACUGCACUAUAAUCGGAAAUUUCAAUAAGAUGUCUGCUGUGAGACGAAAAGCUAAACACAUGAUAUUUCAAGUUGAAAAUGUAGGCAUUCUGUAAUAAUCCUAUUUAAUGGACGAUUCACAUACUGUUAUCUACAGUGUUUACUACUUAUGUCGUUCAUUUAGCCUGUAACAAAUGUUUAAUGCUAAUUGCCUUAUUGGAAAAAAUUAUUUUGGUCUUAAAAACUGACGAAAUAUGUUUACUUCGUAAAUUCUAUUUUAUGAGACAGAUAUUGUACUACUUUCCGUUUUAAAUGAUUCACUUUGCAUUAUCUCACAUACUGUUUCAUGGACAUUAUAAAAACCUUCGAAGAUUUGGUGUUAUUCAUGAAGCUACAGUCAUCUGGUGAUAUACCACUAAUACUCUGUUAGUCUGAAAGGUAUCCGGCAGUAUGUAUCCAGCAGCCCUCCCAGACACAUAUGGCACGGUGUGUGCAACACAUGUAUACCUCUGUCUUGUCAAGAAGACACGGCUAUAUUUUUUUAUGUUCUUUCUUUUUAUUGUGAUGUAAUAUUAUCUCAUGCAUGUAUUGGAAUUUGUAUAUUUGCUAUAGUACAUUUUUUAAAGAUGA